rnacentral:rRNA from 1 species
ACGAACGCUGGCGGCGUGCUUAACACAUGCAAGUCGAACGGUGAAGCCUUCGGGUGGAUCAGUGGCGAACGGGUGAGUAACACGUGAGCAAUCUGCCCUUGACUCUGGGAUAACUUCGGGAAACCGGAGCUAAUACCGGAUAUGACAUCUGGCCGCAUGGUCUGGGUGUGGAAAGAUUUAUCGCCAAAGGAUCGGCCCGCGUCUGAUUAGCUUGUUGGUGAGGAAUGGCUCAUCAAGACGACGAUCAGUAGCUGGUCUGAGAGGAUGAUCAGCCACACUGGGACUGAGACACGGCCCAGACUCCUACGGGAGGCAGCAGUGGGGAAUAUUGGACAAUGGGCGCAAGCCUGAUCCAGCCAUGCCGCGUGAGUGAUGAA